AGCGUACACGGUGGAUGCCCUGGCAGUCAGAGGCGAUGAAGGACGUGCUAAUCUGCGAUAAGCGUCGGUAAGGUGAUAUGAACCGUUAUAACCGGCGAUUUCCGAAUGGGGAAACCCAGUGUGUUUCGACACACUAUCAUUAACUGAAUCCAUAGGUUAAUGAGGCGAACCGGGGGAACUGAAACAUCUAAGUACCCCGAGGAAAAGAAAUCAACCGAGAUUCCCCCAGUAGCGGCGAGCGAACGGGGAGCAGCCCAGAGCCUGAAUCAGUGUGUGUGUUAGUGGAAGCGUCUGGAAAGGCGCGCGAUACAGGGUGACAGCCCCGUACACAAAAAUGCACAUGCUGUGAGCUCGAUGAGUAGGGCGGGACACGUGGUAUCCUGUCUGAAUAUGGGGGGACCAUCCUCCAAGGCUAAAUACUCCUGACUGACCGAUAGUGAACCAGUACCGUGAGGGAAAGGCGAAAAGAACCCCGGCGAGGGGAGUGAAAAAGAACCUGAAACCGUGUACGUACAAGCAGUGGGAGCACGCUUAGGCGUGUGACUGCGUACCUUUUGUAUAAUGGGUCAGCGACUUAUAUUCUGUAGCAAGGUUAACCGAAUAGGGGAGCCGAAGGGAAACCGAGUCUUAACUGGGCGUUAAGUUGCAGGGUAUAGACCCGAAACCCGGUGAUCUAGCCAUGGGCAGGUUGAAGGUUGGGUAACACUAACUGGAGGACCGAACCGACUAAUGUUGAAAAAUUAGCGGAUGACUUGUGGCUGGGGGUGAAAGGCCAAUCAAACCGGGAGAUAGCUGGUUCUCCCCGAAAGCUAUUUAGGUAGCGCCUCGUGAAUUCAUCUCCGGGGGUAGAGCACUGUUUCGGCAAGGGGGUCAUCCCGACUUACCAACCCGAUGCAAACUGCGAAUACCGGAGAAUGUUAUCACGGGAGACACACGGCGGGUGCUAACGUCCGUCGUGAAGAGGGAAACAACCCAGACCGCCAGCUAAGGUCCCAAAGUCAUGGUUAAGUGGGAAACGAUGUGGGAAGGCCCAGACAGCCAGGAUGUUGGCUUAGAAGCAGCCAUCAUUUAAAGAAAGCGUAAUAGCUCACUGGUCGAGUCGGCCUGCGCGGAAGAUGUAACGGGGCUAAACCAUGCACCGAAGCUGCGGCAGCGACACUAUGUGUUGUUGGGUAGGGGAGCGUUCUGUAAGCCUGCGAAGGUGUGCUGUGAGGCAUGCUGGAGGUAUCAGAAGUGCGAAUGCUGACAUAAGUAACGAUAAAGCGGGUGAAAAGCCCGCUCGCCGGAAGACCAAGGGUUCCUGUCCAACGUUAAUCGGGGCAGGGUGAGUCGACCCCUAAGGCGAGGCCGAAAGGCGUAGUCGAUGGGAAACAGGUUAAUAUUCCUGUACUUGGUGUUACUGCGAAGGGGGGACGGAGAAGGCUAUGUUGGCCGGGCGACGGUUGUCCCGGUUUAAGCGUGUAGGCUGGUUUUCCAGGCAAAUCCGGAAAAUCAAGGCUGAGGCGUGAUGACGAGGCACUACGGUGCUGAAGCAACAAAUGCCCUGCUUCCAGGAAAAGCCUCUAAGCAUCAGGUAACAUCAAAUCGUACCCCAAACCGACACAGGUGGUCAGGUAGAGAAUACCAAGGCGCUUGAGAGAACUCGGGUGAAGGAACUAGGCAAAAUGGUGCCGUAACUUCGGGAGAAGGCACGCUGAUAUGUAGGUGAAGUCCCUCGCGGAUGGAGCUGAAAUCAGUCGAAGAUACCAGCUGGCUGCAACUGUUUAUUAAAAACACAGCACUGUGCAAACACGAAAGUGGACGUAUACGGUGUGACGCCUGCCCGGUGCCGGAAGGUUAAUUGAUGGGGUUAGCGCAAGCGAAGCUCUUGAUCGAAGCCCCGGUAAACGGCGGCCGUAACUAUAACGGUCCUAAGGUAGCGAAAUUCCUUGUCGGGUAAGUUCCGACCUGCACGAAUGGCGUAAUGAUGGCCAGGCUGUCUCCACCCGAGACUCAGUGAAAUUGAACUCGCUGUGAAGAUGCAGUGUACCCGCGGCAAGACGGAAAGACCCCGUGAACCUUUACUAUAGCUUGACACUGAACAUUGAGCCUUGAUGUGUAGGAUAGGUGGGAGGCUUUGAAGCGUGGACGCCAGUCUGCGUGGAGCCAACCUUGAAAUACCACCCUUUAAUGUUUGAUGUUCUAACGUUGGCCCCUGACCGGGGUUGCGGACAGUGUCUGGUGGGUAGUUUGACUGGGGCGGUCUCCUCCCAAAGCGUAACGGAGGAGCACGAAGGUUAGCUAAUCCUGGUCGGACAUCAGGAGGUUAGUGCAAUGGCAUAAGCUAGCUUGACUGCGAGCGUGACGGCGCGAGCAGGUGCGAAAGCAGGUCAUAGU
rnacentral:rRNA from 1 species